GAUGAACGCUGGCGGCGUGCCUAAUACAUGCAAGUCGAGCGAACAGAUGAGGAGCUUGCUCCUCUGACGUUAGCGGCGGACGGGUGAGUAACACGUGGAUAACCUACCUAUAAGACUGGGAUAACUUCGGGAAACCGGAGCUAAUACCGGAUAAUAUAUUGAACCGCAUGGUUCAAUAGUGAAAGACGGUUUUGCUGUCACUUAUAGAUGGAUCCGCGCCGCAUUAGCUAGUUGGUAAGGUAACGGCUUACCAAGGCAACGAUGCGUAGCCGACCUGAGAGGGUGAUCGGCCACACUGGAACUGAGACACGGUCCAGACUCCUACGGGAGGCAGCAGUAGGGAAUCUUCCGCAAUGGGCGAAAGCCUGACGGAGCAACGCCGCGUGAGUGAUGAAGGUCUUCGGAUCGUAAAACUCUGUUAUUAGGGAAGAACAUAUGUGUAAGUAACUGUGCACAUCUUGACGGUACCUAAUCAGAAAGCCACGGCUAACUACGUG
rnacentral:rRNA from 1 species